rnacentral:rRNA from 1 species
GACGAACGCUGGCGGCGUGCUUAACACAUGCAAGUCGAACGGAAAGGCCCUGCUUUUGUGGGGUGCUCGAGUGGCGAACGGGUGAGUAACACGUGAGUAACCUGCCCUUUACUUUGGGAUAACUUUAGGAAACUGGGGCUAAUACCGGAUAGGAGCUCCUGCUCCAUGGUGUGGGUUGGAAAAUUUCGGCUUUGGGGGAUGUACUCGCGGCUUAUCAGCUUGUUGGUUGGGUAGUGGCUUACCAAGGCUUUGACGGGUAGCCGGCCUGAGAGGGUGACCGGCCACGCUGGAACUGAGACCGGGGCCAGACUACUAGGGGAGGCAGCGGGAGGGAAUCUUCGGCGAGGGGCGAAAGGCGGAAGGAGCAACGCCGGGUGAGUGAUGAAGGUCGUCGGAUCGUAAAACUAUGUUAUUAGGGAAGAACAAAUGUGUAAGUAACUAUGCACGUCUUGAGGGGACCUAAUCAGAAAGCCACGGCUAACUACGUG